CAGUCGCCGCGGGAAUACGAAGGGGGCUAGCGUUGUUCGGAAUUACUGGGCGUAAAGCGCACGUAGGCGGAUAUUUAAGUCAGGGGUGAAAUCCCAGAGCUCAACUCUGGAACUGCCUUUGAUACUGGGUAUCUUGAGUAUGGAAGAGGUGAGUGGAAUUCCGAGUGUAGAGGUGAAAUUCGUAGAUAUUCGGAGGAACACCAGUGGCGAAGGCGGCUCACUGGUCCAUUACUGACGCUGAGGUGCGAAAGCGUGGGGAGCAAACAGGAUUAGAUACCCCAGUAGUCCCUGUCUCUUAUAA
rnacentral:rRNA from 1 species